GGCCCCUUCGACUACGGGUUAGGUUCCGGGGUUCUCAACUCCGGGGAGCGGGUUCGAGUCCCGCAGGGGCUA
rnacentral:tRNA from 1 species